rnacentral:rRNA from 1 species
AGUGAACGCUGGCGGUAGGCCUAACACAUGCAAGUCGAACGGCAGCACAGUAAGAGCUUGCUCUUACGGGUGGCGAGUGGCGGACGGGUGUGGAAUACAUCGGAAUCUACUUUUUCGUGGGGGCUAACGUAGGGAAACUUACGCUAAUACCGCAUACGACCUACGGGUGAAAGCAGGGGAUCUUCGGACCUUGCGCGAUUGAAUGAGCCGAUGUCGGAUUAGCUAGUUGGCGGGGUAAAGGCCCACCAAGGCGACGAUCCGUAGCUGGUCUGAGAGGAUGAUCAGCCACACUGGAACUGAGACACGGUCCAGACUCCUACGGGAGGCAGCAGUGGGGAAUAUUGGACAAUGGGCGCAAGCCUGAUCCAGCCAUACCGCGUGGGUGAAGAAGGCCUUCGGGUUGUAAAGCCCUUUUGUUGGGAAAGAAAAGCAGCAGGUUAAUACCCCGCUGUUCUGACGGUACCCAAAGAAUAAGCACCGGCUAACUUCGUG